AUCAGUAAGCGGAGGAAAAGAAACUAACAAGGAUUCCCCCAGUAACGGCGAGUGAACAGGGAUGAGCCCAGCACCGAACCUCGAGCCCGGCAAAGCGGACUCUGAGGAAUGUGGUGUUCGGGAGGAUCGUGCGCGUCUGUCCGGCAUUCGUCCAAGUUCCCAUGAACGGGGCGAGCAACCCACAGAGGGUGUCAGGCCCGUAGCUAGACGAGCCGAGACCGUGCAUCGGAUCUUUCCCAAGAGUCGGAUUGCUUGAGAGUGCAGUCCUAAGCGGGAGGUAAACUCCUUCUAAGGCUAAAUACCGCCACGAGACCGAUAGCGAACAAGUACCGCGAGGGAAAGUUGAAAAGAACUUUGAAGAGAGAGUUCAAGAGUGCGUGAAACCGUUCAGGGGGUUAAACGGGUGAGCCCUCGAAGGUCGAACGUGUCCCCGCUCCCGGCACUCGGUCGCAUGCCCUCGUCGUCGAGACCGUCGCAACGGCGGCUCGUCGAUGGGGAUCGCAUUAGCCGCACCGAGGUCCGCUAGUGGGGGACCGAGUAGGACUCCGCGACCGAUUGGAGAGUCGUCAUACGGGCCGUCGUUNGCGUCGUUUCGCUUCGGCGUGCGGCGUGCGCGGCGGUCGCCGGCGGUCUCUCCGAUCGUCAGCCCUGUCACCCGCGGGCGGCCACGGCCGAUUCGCGGGCCCAGAGCGGAGAGUAAAAAGUCGGAUCUCACCCGACCCGUCUUGAAACACGGACCAAGGAGUCUAACAUGUGCGCGAGUCGUCGAGUCUUUUUACGAAACUCGCGAGGCGCAGUGAAAGCGAAGCAGCCCCGACGAGGGUGUCUGCGAGGGGAGAUCCCGUCUCGAGCAGAGCGGGCGCAUCCCUAGGGCGUCCGGAGCCGCGAUUUGUCGGCCGGACGAACCCGGAGCGUACACGUUGGGACCCGAAAGAUGGUGACCUAUGCCUGACCAGGACGAAGCCAGGGGAAACCCUGGUGGAGGUCCGCAGCGAUUCUGACGUGCAAAUCGAUCGUCGGAGUUGGGUAUAGGGGCGAAAGACUAAUCGAACCAUCUAGUAGCUGG
rnacentral:rRNA from 1 species